rnacentral:RNase_P_RNA from 1 species
UGAGUAGCACAGAUGAUCGCGCCUAUUAGCUGCCGAAAGGCCUUAGGUGAGGAAAGUCCGAGCUUCAUAGGGCAGAGUGCCGGAUAACGUCCGGUAGAGGCGACUCUAAGGAUAGUGCAACAGAAAUAUACCGCCUGUUAGCUCAGGUAAGGUUGGAAGGGUGGAGUAAGAGACCACCGCCUGGUUGGUAACAACCAGGGCAUAUGUAAACCCCACUCGAAGCAAGACCGAAUUUAAAGCGAUACGGCUGCCCGUCGUGCUUUAGGGUAGGUCGCGGUUUGCGUAAAGCAAAUGAGCCACAUGGCAACAUAUGGCAAAGAUAGAUGAUCAUUUAAUACAGAACUCGGCUUAUAGUGCUGCUCAUCUA